rnacentral:rRNA from 1 species
GACGAACGCUGGCGGCGUGCUUAACACAUGCAAGUCGAGCGGUAAGGCCCUUUCGGGGGUACACGAGCGGCGAACGGGUGAGUAACACGUGGGUGACCUGCCCUCAGCUCUGGGAUAAGCCUGGGAAACCGGGUCUAAUACCGGAUAUGACUCCAUGACGCAUGUUGUGGGGUGGAAAGCCUUGUGCGGCUGAGGAUGGGCCCGCGGCCUAUCAGCUUGUUGGUGGGGUGAUGGCCUACCAAGGCGACGACGGGUAGCCGCCUGAGAGGGCGACCGGCCACACUGGGACUGAGACACGGCCCAGACUCCUACGGGAGGCAGCAGGUGGGGAAUCUUGCGCAAUGGGCGAAAGCCUGACGCAGCGACGCCGCGUGAGGGAUGACGGCCUGGUU